UAGCGGGGGGGCAAGCGUUGUUCGGAAUUACGUGGCGUAAAGGGCUCGUAGGCGGCCAACUAAGUCAUACGAUGAAAUCCCUCGGCUUAACCGGGGAACUGCGUCUGAUACUGGAUGGCUUGAGUUCGGGAGAGGGAGUGCGGAAUUCCGAGGUGUAGCGGUGAAAUGCGUAGAUAUCUGAAGGAACAUCAGUCGGCGAAAGCGAACUUCCGUGGACCAAUACUGACGCUCAUGUGCGAAAGCGUGGG
rnacentral:rRNA from 1 species